rnacentral:rRNA from 1 species
UCAAGCGACUAAGUGCAUGUGGUGGAUGCCUUGGCGAUCACAGGCGAUGAAGGACGCGGCAGUCUGCGAAAAGCCCCGGGGAGCUGACAACGAGCUUUGAUCCGGGGGUCUCCGAAUGAGGGAACUCCAAGCUUUAGCUUGAUCCAUGCGUGAAUACAUAGCGCAUGGAGGCGAACGCGGCGAACUGAAACAUCUCAGUAGCUGCAGGAAAAGAAAUCAACCGAGAUUCCGGAAGUAGCGGCGAGCGAAACCGGAACAGCCUGAAUUCGAUAUUGAGAAGAACACUGGAAGAGUCUGGAAAGGCUCGCCAUAGUGGGUGAUAGCCCCGUACGGGACGUUCAUCUCAAGGUACUGAGGAUUCGAAAAGUAGGUCGGGGCACGUGAAACCCUGGCUGAACAUGGGGGGACCAUCCUCCAAGGCUAAAUACUCGUGAUCGACCGAUAGCGUACUAGUACUGUGAAGGAAAGGUUAAAAGAACCCCGGGAGGGGAGUGAAAUAGAUUCUGAAACCGCAUGCAUACAAACAGUAGGAGCCCUUCGGGGUGACUGCGUACCUUUUGCAUAAUGGGUCAGCGACUUAUGUUAUGUGGCAAGCCUAACCGACUAGGGGAGGCGCAGCGAAAGCGAGUCCGAACAGGGCGAUUCAGUCGCAUGGCAUAGACCCGAAACCAGAUGAGCUAACCAUGGCCAGGCUGAAGGUGUGGUAACACACACUGGAGGGCCGAACCUACUGGUGUUGCAAAACCAGAGGAUGAGCUGUGGUUAGGGGUGAAAGGCUUAACAAAUCUGGAGAUAGCUGGUUCUCCCCGAAAACUAUUGAGGUAGUGCCUUGCGCAUGAGCUUCUGGGGGUAGAGCACUGUUAUAGCUAGGGGGACAUGGCGUCUUACCAAACUAUGGCAAACUCCGAAUACCAGAAAGCUUCGCGCAGGAGACAGAGCACCGGGUGCUAACGUCCGGACUCAAAAGGGAAUCAACCCAGACCGCCAGCUAAGGUCCCUAAUAUCAGCUAAGUGGAAAACGAAGUGGAAAGGCUAAAACAGUCAGGAAGUUGGCUUAGAAGCAGCCAUCCUUCAAAGAAAGCGUAAUAGCUCACUGAUCGAGUCCUUCCGCGCGGAAGAUGUAACGGGGCUAAGUUGAUAACCGAAGCUGCGGAUUCACACUUUGAGUGUGAGUGGUAGGGGAGCGUUCUGUAAGCCUGCGAAGGUGGAUCGUAAGGUCUGCUGGAGGUAUCAGAAGUGCGAAUGCUGACAUGAGUAACGAUAAAGCGGGUGAAAAGCCCGCUCGCCGGAAGACCAAGGGUUCCUGUCCAACGUUAAUCGGGGCAGGGUGAGUCGACCCCUAAGGCGAGGCCGAAAGGCGUAGUCGAUGGGAAACAGGUUAAUAUUCCUGUACUUGGUGUUACUGCGAAGGGGGGACGGAGAAGGCUAUGUUGGCCGGGCGACGGUUGUCCCGGUUUAAGCGUGUAGGCUGGUUUUCCAGGCAAAUCCGGAAAAUCAAGGCUGAGGCGUGAUGACGAGGCACUACGGUGCUGAAGCAACAAAUGCCCUGCUUCCAGGAAAAGCCUCUAAGCAUCAGGUAACAUCAAAUCGUACCCCAAACCGACACAGGUGGUCAGGUAGAGAAUACCAAGGCGCUUGAGAGAACUCGGGUGAAGGAACUAGGCAAAAUGGUGCCGUAACUUCGGGAGAAGGCACGCUGAUAUGUAGGUGAAGUCCCUUGCGGAUGGAGCUGAAAUCAGUCGAAGAUACCAGCUGGCUGCAACUGUUUAUUAAAAACACAGCACUGUGCAAACACGAAAGUGGACGUAUACGGUGUGACGCCUGCCCGGUGCCGGAAGGUUAAUUGAUGGGGUUAGCGGUAACGCGAAGCUCUUGAUCGAAGCCCCGGUAAACGGCGGCCGUAACUAUAACGGUCCUAAGGUAGCGAAAUUCCUUGUCGGGUAAGUUCCGACCUGCACGAAUGGCGUAAUGAUGGCCAGGCUGUCUCCACCCGAGACUCAGUGAAAUUGAACUCGCUGUGAAGAUGCAGUGUACCCGCGGCAAGACGGAAAGACCCCGUGAACCUUUACUAUAGCUUGACACUGAACAUUGAGCCUUGAUGUGUAGGAUAGGUGGGAGGCUUUGAAGUGUGGACGCCAGUCUGCAUGGAGCCGACCUUGAAAUACCACCCUUUAAUGUUUGAUGUUCUAACGUUGACCCGUAAUCCGGGUUGCGGACAGUGUCUGGUGGGUAGUUUGACUGGGGCGGUCUCCUCCUAAAGAGUAACGGAGGAGCACGAAGGUUGGCUAAUCCUGGUCGGACAUCAGGAGGUUAGUGCAAUGGCAUAAGCCAGCUUGACUGCGAGCGUGACGGCGCGAGCAGGUGCGAAAGCAGGUCAUAGUGAUCCGGUGGUUCUGAAUGGAAGGGCCAUCGCUCAACGGAUAAAAGGUACUCCGGGGAUAACAGGCUGAUACCGCCCAAGAGUUCAUAUCGACGGCGGUGUUUGGCAC